ACCUGAGAGCUACAGACCCAAACCCGGGCCCGCCCCCACCGCGGGGGGCACCGCACCUCCAAAGAGAAGCACUCCAUCCGCAGAGGGGCUGAACCUAGGAUGGGGCCUCUCAUAACUCGGGUUUCUCUGAUGGGAGGCAGGAAACCCAAGGGGCCAUGGGGUGGGCAUCUAGCCUGCGCCUCUCCCCAGGACAGCCUGUGCCCACGGCCAUGCCUUUCUCCAGCCCGUGCCUGCAGCUCACCCACCUGCGCCCACGGCCUCGCUCCGGCCAGGUGACAGGCAAGGUCACGGUGUGUGACUCAUCAUGGAGCUGGCGGGGGCUUGCUGAUUUAUUCUGCCUUCCUCACGAGGAGCUGUGCUGACCCCGCCUGCCCGCCCGCUGGGCUUCCCCUCUGCCGUCACUGACUGUAUGAAGGGCGCGCGGCAGUGCACAUGCGCCGGCAGCCGGGGCUAACUGCCUAUGGGCUUGUGUGGGCCGUGAGGCUGGCCGACAUCAACACAGCUUGGGGAGGCGUCUGGCUGAGAAGAUCCCAGGGCUCUGUCUUUUUAGGAGAAACUCUGAUCAGCUGCUGCACCACAAACUGUGCAAAACAUAGGCUGCCGAAAGAGCUCCGAAAACCCGAGCUGAAAUCUCACGGGUGGCAAUGCCAGACCAGAAACACCAGCCACCAAAAGAGUUCCUCAAACCCGAGCUGAAGCUCACAGGUGGCGAUGCCAGACCAGAAACGCCGGCAUCUUCAGCUCAGUCCAAUAUAUUUUCUCCCGUGCAGGUUAAAAAGUACCAUGAUUAAUUUACCAGAAUCAAAUUUAUUUUAGACAUCCAAGUAAACUUCAGAAAAAUAUUAAGAAUAACUUAUUAAUACCCUGGCCUCAGGAGUUGCCCAGAGCACAAGUGUAAAAGCUCCAAGCCUAACUAGACUAAGGGGAAGACGGAGAAGCCGGGAGAGGAGAGCAGGUCUGCCUAGCGACAGCUGUGCGACUCCAGCGAAUUAGCUGGCCGGCGGCCACCACCACUAAGAGCCACACUGUCCUCCACUAAUAUGAUGGACAGAUUAGCAGGACACUUUCUUAAAGGAAAUGAGGCCAGCUAGAGAUUUCUGAACUCUGGAUGGCACCGUGGGGGAAAAAGCUGCCUGGGCAAUGUUCAUGCAUUCAUCUGAGGCACCUCCAGUCCUUCAAGAUUUCCUGUACUUUUCACAAAUCACUUUGCAAGGGAAGCGAUUUUUUCCUCACAUCCGGCAAUGACUUCAAAUAAGACGAAAAGAAGGCCCGCAGAGGCUUCACGCUGUGAGAGAGGGGAGGGCAAAGGUGAGAAGAGCCUCCUUUAUAAAAUCCUAAAGUAGGAGCCGUGGCAUUCAGGACAGCUCUGGGCCACCCCUUUCAUCCUUUGGGCAUUUAUUGGGGCAUGGGAGUCAGUGGGAACAGCUGACACCCCGCCUGGGCUCCGGCUGCGCUUCCACCUGGGGGAUAAGAGGAGACACACCAAAUCCACAGAUUUACAACCAGUUCCAGUUGUAAUAAGUACUAUGACUCAUUUAUGUUUGUGGGGACCUUAAGGCGUUUUGUAAAGCUGGGUUGAGCAUCUGCCAAGAUGAGCUUUAUUCUGACUGCGAUUUCCAACACGCCUAAGAGCCUUCACCGACGCGCCCACAAUCUGCCAGCCCUGAGUGAGGCAUCUGGAAGUCGGGGCCUGGGGUGGACGUCAGCCCCUCCCUGAUGUCAGGCCCCUGAGCUCCCUGCGUGCCCACCCUGUGUGGACAGGGUGGAGCUGAGCCCCCUGUGUGCCCACGCUGUGUGGACAGGGUGGAGCUGCCUUCUGAGGACACCCUCAAUGCCAUUAUUGAGCACUUCAGUGUGACGUGGAGCUUGUUUCCAAAGACAGAAUGUAG
rnacentral:lncRNA from 1 species